UGUAGCUCAUUGGUUGAGCACUUGCCUAACACGCAUGAGGUCCUGUGAUUCAUUCACAGCA
rnacentral:tRNA from 1 species